GACGAACGCUGGCGGCGUGCCUAAUACAUGCAAGUAGAACGCUGAAGGAGGAGCUUGCUCUUCUGGAUGAGUUGCGAACGGGUGAGUAACGCGUAGGUAACCUGCCUGGUAGCGGGGGAUAACUAUUGGAAACGAUAGCUAAUACCGCAUAACAGUAGAUAUUGCAUGAUAUCUGCUUGAAAGGUGCAAUUGCAUCACUACCAGAUGGACCUGCGUUGUAUUAGCUAGUUGGUGGGGUAACGGCUCACCAAGGCGACGAUACAUAGCCGACCUGAGAGGGUGAUCGGCCACACUGGGACUGAGACACGGCCCAGACUCCUACGGGAGGCAGCAGUAGGGAAUCUUCGGCAAUGGACGGAAGUCUGACCGAUUAACGCCGCGUGAGUGAAGAAGGUUUUCGGAUCGUAAAGCUCUGUUGUAAGAUAACAACGAGUGUGAUAGUGGAAAGUUCACACUGUGACGGUAUCUUACCAGAAAGGGACGGCUAACUACGUGCCGGCAGCCGCGGUAAUACGGUGG
rnacentral:rRNA from 1 species